AUGUAUCCCCUAGAGCGGUAAGACAUACAUAGUAAGCCUGUCCAUUUGCUUUAAUUCAAAUUCUAUAUUCCAUUGUUAAUCUUCUUUAUUCACAUAGGUACUUGUCAGGAUUGAAGUCCUAUGUUCGAAAUAAGGCUUGUCCAGAAGGUUGUAUUGCAGAAUGGUACUUGGCAGAGGAGUGCUUAACAUUCUGUUCACGAUAUUUCAAAAAUGUCGAAACUGUCUUCACUCGGCCCAUAAGGAAUGUUGAAGAAUCUACAGGUGCGGUGUUGAACAUCACCCUAGAUUCAAAAUCAUGGACCCAAGUAUAUCGUUAUGUGCUAUUCAGUUGUGAUGAAAUUACCCAAUUUCGCAUGUAAGUAACUAAGACAUCAUCUGGUACCGCUUAAUGUCUAACAAAACUCAAGUUUAUGAUACUAACACACAUUUUCCUACACAGUGUGCAUAGAGAUUAUUUAAAAGAACUUCACUCAAAUGUAGCUAAUGAUGUUAUUGAAAAGCAACACAUGGAGAGAUUUUGUCACUGGUUUAAGUAUCAUGUAAAUGUAUGACAUAUAAAACUAUUUUUUGCUGUAACUUUCUUGAGAUUAUAUUUUUAAUAGAACACAUCGUUUAUAUUAGGUGUUGUCAAUGGAUGUUGAUGAGAGGGAGAAAUUUCCUGAAAAAGUUAUAUGGCUUGCUCGGUAUCUAGAUAAUGAAGUUAAAUAGUUCAGCGUUAUGUUUUAAAUGGAUUGAAGUUUCGCACCAAAGAUUCUGAGGCAAAUAGGAAAACUCAGAACAGUAGAGUUAGUGUUGUCAUUGAAGGUGGCGUUACUUACUAUGGUGUCUUAACUGACAUUAUUGAGUUGAAUUAUUCUGAGAAGUUACGAUAUAUAUUAUUCAAAUGUGAAUGGAUUGAUGUGGAUAGUAGAAGGGAUAUAAGACAGACAAGUUUGGUUUCCCUCUUGUCAACUUUACAAGAUUGAUACAUAAGGGUGAUUGAUUGAUUGAUGAACUGUAUGUUUUAGCUUCUCAAGUUUCACAAGUCUUUUAUGUGGAAGAUCCAAGACAUAAAGAUUGGAUGGUCGUUGUUAAAACAAAAGCUAGACAUGUUUUUGAUGUUGGAACUGGUGCUUCAUCUGAUGAUGAUGUAGAUAACUUUUGUGAGAAUGUUCCUUAUAAUAUAACCAUUGAUAAUGCAUAUGAUGUAAAUGAUAACUUUGCAUGAACUCGUAGAGAUGUAGAAGGGACCAUUUAUGAAACACUGUUAUUUGUUGAGCGUGAAUUGGUUGAAGAUGACAAUAUAGAUGAGGAAGAGUUCAUUGAUGAUGUGUAUGAGUCCAAUGAUGAUUCUACUGAUGAUGACAAUGAAGAUGGUGAAGAGGUCAAUGAUGGGAUAAAUGAUGACUCGACUGAUGAUGAGAGUUAA
rnacentral:sRNA from 1 species